CCUCCUUAUUGACAUCCUCUCCUCCCUUGGCUUCUGAGACACUCUAUUCUGGUUUUCCAUGGGCUUGGCCACCUGGCUCAUUAUGCCUCUGAGGAAGGAGGUGGAGAGUUGGGUGCCACAGUCUAGGAAGGAGAGUGAGGAACUGGAAACUGUUCAGAAGAAAGAAAACAGAAUACUGAAUCUUCAAAUCCAUUCCAUGAUUAGGGCAGAGAGAGAUUGCAGGUGACUGAGAAAUUGAAGAAUAAAGUCGCAUUCCAGAGAUGUCAAAUCUCAUUUUGCAAAUGAAUAAACUGAGGCAAACAGGGAUAAGUCACUUGCCCAGGGUCAUGCCACUACUAGGCAUGCACACUGCUAGAGCUGCCUUUAGGGUAUGGGGGAAUCAGGGCUAUUGCCUGAGGCCCACUUCUAUUCCCACCACUGAUGCAGGAACCAGGCUGCUGGGCAGUGAUUCAAGGAGGCAGCUGGCUAGGGGAAUAAGAGGUGGCUCUGGCUAGCUUGUGCUAAAAUAAAGCUCUAAGGCUCAUCUACA
rnacentral:lncRNA from 1 species